CGUUAGCGGCGGACGGGUGAGUAACACGUGGGUAACCUACCUAUAAGACUGGGAUAACUUCGGGAAACCGGAGCUAAUACCGGAUAAUAUUUUGAACCGCAUGGUUCAAUAGUGAAAGACGGUUUCGGCUGUCACUUAUAGAUGGACCCGCGCCGUAUUAGCUAGUUGGUAAGGUAACGGCUUACCAAGGCAACGAUGCAUAGCCGACCUGAGAGGGUGAUCGGCCACACUGGAACUGAGACACGGUCCAG
rnacentral:rRNA from 1 species